rnacentral:lncRNA from 1 species
AAACAAGAUGACAACAAAAUUGAAAGUUCUAGAAAGAAGGUGCUUAAGAGGACCAUGGCUGUUACUCCUAUAAUUGAAAGAAAUUGUGCCAAGGAUGAUGCUAGGCCAGAAGGAAACAAGACAAUAAAAGAAGUUAAACUCUCAAUAAGACAGAACUUUAUGUUGAUAACUUUGAUUUUAAAUAUCCAUUGAAAUCACUACCUUCCAGAACAGAAGCUGUCCUUCUUU